UGAACGCUGGCGGCAUGCCUUACACAUGCAAGUCGAACGGCGGCAUGAUCUAGCUUGCUAGAUUGAUGGCGAGUGGCGAACGGGUGAGUAAUACAUCGGAACGUGCCCUGUAGUGGGGGAUAACUAGUCGAAAGAUUAGCUAAUACCGCAUACGACCUGAGGGUGAAAGUGGGGGACCGCAAGGCCUCAUGCUAUAGGAGCGGCCGAUGUCUGAUUAGCUAGUUGGUGAGGUAAAGGCUCACCAAGGCGACGAUCAGUAGCUGGUCUGAGAGGACGAUCAGCCACACUGGGACUGGGACACGGCCCAGACUCCUACGGGAGGCAGCAGUGGGGAAUUUUGGACAAUGGGGGCAACCCUGAUCCAGCAAUGCCGCGUGUGUGAAGAAGGCCUUCGGGUUGUAAAGCACUUUUGUCCGGAAAGAAAUCGCACUUACUAAUAUUAGGUGUGGAUGACGGUACCGGAAGAAUAAGGACCGGCUAACUACGUGCCAGCAGCCGCGGUAAUACGUAGGGUCCAAGCGUUAAUCGGAAUUACUGGGCGUAAAGCGUGCGCAGGCGGUUGUGCAAGACCGAUGUGAAAUCCCCGGGCUUAACCUGGGAAUUGCAUUGGUGACUGCACGGCUAGAGUGUGUCAGAGGGGGGUAGAAUUCCACGUGUAGCAGUGAAAUGCGUAGAGAUGUGGAGGAAUACCGAUGGCGAAGGCAGCCCCCUGGGAUAACACUGACGCUCAUGCACGAAAGCGUGGGGAGCAAACAGGAUUAGAUACCCUGGUAGUCCACGCCCUAAACGAUGUCAACUAGUUGUUGGGGAUUCAUUUCCUUAGUAACGUAGCUAACGCGUGAAGUUGACCGCCUGGGGAGUACGGUCGCAAGAUUAAAACUCAAAGGAAUUGACGGGGACCCGCACAAGCGGUGGAUGAUGUGGAUUAAUUCGAUGCAACGCGAAAAACCUUACCUACCCUUGACAUGCCACUAACGAAGCAGAGAUGCAUUAGGUGCUCGAAAGAGAAAGUGGACACAGGUGCUGCAUGGCUGUCGUCAGCUCGUGUCGUGAGAUGUUGGGUUAAGUCCCGCAACGAGCGCAACCCUUGUCUCUAGUUGCUACGAAAGGGCACUCUAGAGAGACUGCCGGUGACAAACCGGAGGAAGGUGGGGAUGACGUCAAGUCCUCAUGGCCCUUAUGGGUAGGGCUUCACACGUCAUACAAUGGUGCAUACAGAGGGUUGCCAAGCCGCGAGGUGGAGCUAAUCCCAGAAAAUGCAUCGUAGUCCGGAUCGUAGUCUGCAACUCGACUACGUGAAGCUGGAAUCGCUAGUAAUCGCGGAUCAGCAUGCCGCGGUGAAUACGUUCCCGGGUCUUGUACUCACCGCC
rnacentral:rRNA from 1 species